rnacentral:rRNA from 1 species
UACGUAGGGCGCGAGCGUUGUCCGGAAUUAUUGGGCGUAAAGAGCUCGUAGGCGGCCUGUUGCGUCCGCUGUGAAAUCCCGGGGCUUAACCCCGGGCGUGCAGUGGAUACGGGCUGGCUGGAGGCAGGCAGGGGAGAACGGAAUUCCUGGUGUAGCGGUGAAAUGCGCAGAUAUCAGGAGGAACACCGGUGGCGAAGGCGGUUCUCUGGGCCUGUACUGACGCUGAGGAGCGAAAGCGUGGGGAGCGAACAGG